GACGAACCGAGCGAACGUUAUUCGGAAUCACUGGGCUUAAAGGGCGCGUAGGCGGGCGAUCAAGUCAGGGGUGAAAGCCUCCAGCUCAACUGGAGAAGUGCCUCUGAUACUGGUCAUCUCGAGGGAGGUAGGGGCGUGCGGAACUUCCGGUGGAGCGGUGAAAUGCGUAGAUAUCGGAAGGAACACCGGUGGCGAAAGCGGCGCGCUGGACCUCUUCUGACGCUGAGGCGCGAAAGCCAGGGGAGCGAACGGG
rnacentral:rRNA from 1 species